UACGUAGGGUGCAAGCGUUGUCCGGAAUUAUUGGGCGUAAAGAGCUCGUAGGCGGUUUGUCGCGUCUGCUGUGAAAACUCGGGGCUUAACCCCGGCCUGCAGUGGGUACGGGCAGACUAGAGUGCGGUAGGGGGGAGACUGGAAUUCCUGGUGUAGCGGUGAAAUGCGCAGAUAUCAGGAGGAACACCGGUGGCGAAGGCGGGUCCCUGGACCGUUACCGACGCUGAGGCACGAAACGCUAGGGGGGGAGCAAACAGG
rnacentral:rRNA from 1 species